AUGACCCGAGCCGAAGUCGGCCGCUUAACCGACUGAGCCACCCAGGCGCCCCAAGAGAGAGAGAAUCUUAAGCAGGCUCCAUGCUCAGCGAGGAACCAGAUCCACAACCCUGGGCUGAUGACCUGCGCUGAAAUCAAGAGUCGGAUGCUCGACCAACUGAGCCACCCAGGUGCCUCUCACAGCACCUUUUUGGAUGAAAUGAUUAAGGCAAAGGAACCCAAAGUAUACCCACACUGCUCUGCAUCACCCUAGGCCGCUAACUUCACGAGGACAUGUACCACCCCUGCUUUAGUCCGUCAUUAUGAUGCCAGCACCUGUCACGAUGCCUGACAUGCUCUCUCAAACUUUCCGUCCUACGAAUGGUGCCAAUAUGCCCCUGAGCUCAAAAUUUUGGCAUCAACAUUGACAGUUUCCUCCGUUCGGCCCUUCAAAUGGAGCCAGCCAUCCAGGCUUCUCAAGUGCACCUUCAAACUCUCCUAGGAUGAUUUCUUUCCAUUCCUGCUUUGCCUUUGGGUCGUUACAUAGUUGGAUACCUGGGCCUAAAUUCCCCUUCCCUUCAAUGGCUCUAAACUACCCACUGCAAUGAU